rnacentral:rRNA from 2 species
CCUGGCGGCGAGUGGCGAACGGGUGAGUAAUACAUCGGAACGUGUCCUGUAGUGGGGGAUAGCCCGGCGAAAGCCGGAUUAAUACCGCAUACGAUCUACGGAUGAAAGCGGGGGAUCGCAAGACCUCGCGCUAUAGGGGCGGCCGAUGGCGGAUUAGCUAGUUGGUGGGGUAAAGGCCCACCAAGGCGACGAUCCGUAGCUGGUCUGAGAGGACGACCAGCCACACUGGGACUGAGACACGGCCCAGACUCCUACGGGAGGCAGCAGUGGGGAAUUUUGGACAAUGGGCGCAAGCCUGAUCCAGCAAUGCCGCGUGUGUGAAGAAGGCCUUCGGGUUGUAAAGCACUUUUGUCCGGAAAGAAAUCCUCUGGGUUAAUACCCCGGGGGGAUGACGGUACCGGAAGAAUAAGCACCGGCUAACUACGUGCCAGCAGCCGCGGUAAUACGUAGGGUGCGAG